ensembl:lincRNA
UACAGCCAUUGGAACCACUGCUCAUGUUUAUUGGAAAAGCAGAACAUAAGGCAUCUUCGGCUUCCACAGUUCUCCGAGUCCUGAUUCCAUGCCCUCUAAGCUUGCCAUUCCCUUGGGAGGUAACAAAACCGCUUUAACUUAAUGCUCCCAGGGAGAAUUAAUGAGAAGGCACACCUAUGUUGCAUGUUAUGAUAGCACUGCUUAAAGAGGCUGAGUGGGGAAGAGUGGAUGAAGAUUGGUCCCAGAAUAGAAGUUCCUUCCCAUCAUGCCCUGUCCAGCCAAGGGCACAGACUUAUCCCCACCCCUACCAAUACUCAUGUGACAGGAGGGACUUCUCACAGAGGCCUGGACUUCCUGCAAGCAGAAAGGCGACAGUGUGACGGUAAUGACCACUUUUUAUCAAUAUCAUGUGUCUGGAAUGGGUUCUGGGUGAUCAAUGGUGUAGAGCUGAAGGAUUCUUUCUAUUGGUGGGACAGUGUGGCACAGCAUUAGAUCUGUAGGGCCACCAUUAGAGGCAAUGAACCAGCAGCCACUCCACUGACUUCUUAGUAACACAGAUGGGACAUGAUCAAACAUGGCCAUGGGAAGGGUAGUGAGAGCACUCUUAUUGAUUAAAAGAAAGUGUCCGUUAUGCAAAUACUUCUAUGGGGUACACGUAGACCUUUUAUGAGAACCUGAGCAGUGUGUGUGUGUUGGAGUCAGUGACCUUAAACUCAGAGCCAUGGCAAGCUGCGCUAACACAAAGUUAAGACUCCACAAAUUUAAGUUGAGCUUAAUUCCAGUUUGGAAACAUGAGUGAUGAAAUAUGGUAUGUCUAUAAAAGCAAUUACUCUUUAGAUUAAAACAUCCUGUAGGGAAUCAUGUCAGCCCCGAGGAGCUGGGGUUGGAAAACAGAUAUAAUUUAUCUUUACCAAUUACUAGCUGCCUCAGCUCCUCGCCCAGUUCCCUUACCUGUAAUGAACUCAUUAAGUCUUAACAUCUUUCAGCUUUGGGAGAAAUGGUGACUGAAGCACGGGUGGGUGCCCUGCUCAUUUACACGUAGACACCAUUUCUAAAAACACAAGAAAAGGCAGAACAUUCCAGAACGUUUUAGAACACGCAUGCGUGUGCCAACCCUGGUUGCUGAGCCUCAACACCGACUCCCUUCUGAAACAAGAGAGUCCUGUGAUAUCUUCAUGUAUACCGAGGUUCUAGAAUGUUCUUCCCCCAGUGAAGGAACUCUCUAGAGGCUGAGGGCCAGACUCAAGAUACUAUUGCCUUCCGGUUUUAAGGCUCUUGUGUGGCACCAGGACAGAAAGAGGACAUGUGGCACAUGGGAUCUGAAGUCAAAUGGCCAGUAAGGCCAGGACCCAAUGGGAAAGAAAGCAAGACCUGACAAUUUACCCAGUUAGACUCUACCAAAUGCCAAACGGAUAUCUACUAUAAUGUUUGAAGUUAAGUGCAUAUAUAGAGCUUGCAGUUGUUCUCAGUCAGCCGGCGCAGGCAAGGCAGGCCUGCAUCCACCUGCACCUGCUACCCAUGCAGAUAGGGGGCGCGCGCGGGCUCCCGGCCCAGAGCGUUGAUGUGCUGCUGAGCACUGGAGGCCCCUAGCUUCUCAUUGAGUUUUUGGUUCACCAGCUCCAGGUGGCGGCUGUUCUUCCGUGCCUGCCUCAGAGACCUCUUGACCUUCUUGACCCGGCGGCUACGCUCUAGCUCGGGCGCAUGGCCCGCCCGGGUGCGGGGGACGGCGGGGAGCCGGGGAGCCCGCAGCGCCUGCCCGGGAACCGCAGACGGGACGCUCGGCUCGGCUGCACGCGCUCCGGAGAGCUGAGUGCGCGGCUAGCUCUACGGCCCGGAUCACCAUGACCCGGCCUUCGCC